AACCCUUGUCCUUAGUUACCAGCACGUUAAGGUGGGCACUCUAAGGAGACUGCCGGUGACAAACCGGAGGAAGGUGGGGAUGACGUCAAGUCAUCCAUGGCCCUUACGGCCUGGGCUACACACGUGCUACAAUGGUCGGUACAAAGGGUUGCCAAGCCGCGAGGUGGAGCUAAUCCCAUAAACCGAUCGUAGUCCGGAUCGCAGUCUGCAACUCGACUGCGUGAAGUCGGAAUCGCUAGUAAUCGUGAAUCAGAAUGUCACGGUGAAUACGUUCCCGGGCCUU
rnacentral:rRNA from 1 species